rnacentral:rRNA from 1 species
UACGUAUGGGGCAAGCGUUGUUCGGAAUUAUUGGGCGUAAAGGGCGCCUAGGCGGGGGACUAAGUUAGUUGUGAAAGCUAUGGGCUCAACCCAUAAAUUGCAUCUAAGACUGGUUCUCUUGAGUUCGGGAGAGGAGAGCGGAAUUCCAGGUGUAGCGGUGAAAUGCGUAGAUAUCUGGAAGAACACCAGUGGCGAAGGCGGCUCUCUGGCCUAGGACUGACGCUGAAGCGCGAAAGCGUGGGGAGCGAACAGGAUUAGAUACCCCGGUAGU